UACGUACGUGCCUACACUACACCAGCCUCACCGGCGCCGCGGCAGCCGCCACGGGCUCGAGGCCCUUGCAGCUGAGCGACCGUAUGAGCCUCCACGGCGCCCACCCCGCGGCGGAGGAUGGCGGCCGCUCGUUCCCGGCGGGGCCACCGGCCAGAGCCAGCUGCCGCGCCCUCAGGCGCCUCCUGAUCUCGCCCAUGUCCAUGGCCGCCGGCACGCGCGCGGACCCGAACGCCAUGUCGUGCCACCGCACCUGCUGCUUCCUUGGUGUUGGUGGCGCCGCCGGCGUCGCGGCCACGACGCUUGGCGCUCCGCGGCGCGCGCGCAGCUGGGGAGGCUGCGGCUGGGCCGCCGUCGUGGCCGCAGCCUGGGCGACGGUUCUUGGACGCUCCGUGCGCGCGCUGUGCCGGCGCCGCGGCCUGGGUAGGAGUGGCGUGAACUCGAAGCCGUCGUCUUCGUAGUAGUCGGAGGAGGAGGAGGAGGACAGGUGGUAGCGGUGCCCAUGGGCUGCGGUGGUGAGCGCGGCGACGGAUGACGGGGAGAGAGAUGACCCCAUGUCUCUUUCUCUCUCUCUCUCCAGAUAGAGGGGGAGAUGGGAGUGUAUGUGAGCUCGAGGUGUGUGUAUAGAAGCUAGAAAGAGGUGUGUGCCCUUUUGCGUCUUGUGAAGGCCGUGUUUGUGUUGCGGUGAUGACUGAUGAAAAAGUAGAGACUAGAGAGAGAGAUGCCGUGAUGGUUUGCC
rnacentral:misc_RNA from 1 species